UGGGGAAUAUUGCACAAUGGGCGGAAGCCUGAUGCAGCAACGCCGCGUGCGGGAUGACGGCCUUCGGGUUGUAAACCGCUUUCGCCUGUGACGAAGCGUGAGUGACGGUAAUGGGUAAAGAAGCACCGGCUAACUACGUGCCAGCAGCCGCGGUGAUAUGUAGGGUGCGAGCGUUGUCCGGAUUUAUUGGGCGUAAAGGGCUCGUAGGUGGUUGAUCGCGUCGGAAGUGUAAUCUUGGGGCUUAACCCUGAGCGUGCUUUCGAUACGGGUUGACUUGAGGAAGGUAGGGGAGAAUGGAAUUCCUGGUGGAGCGGUGGAAUGCGCAGAUAUCAGGAGGAACACCAGUGGCGAAGGCGGUUCUCUGGGCCUUUCCUGACGCUGAGGAGCGAAAGCGUGGGGAGCGAACAGGCUUAGAUACCCUGGUAGUCCACGCUGUAAACGGUGGGUACUAGGUGUGGGGGUCCAUUUCCACGGGUUCCGUGCCGUAGCUAACGCUUUAAGUACCCCGCCUGGGGAGUACGCCGCAAGGCUAAACUUAAAGGAAUUGACGGGGUCAUAGCUGUUUCCU
rnacentral:rRNA from 1 species